rnacentral:lncRNA from 1 species
CUGAGCCAGCCGUGCCAUGGGGAUGCCCAAUGCAGCACCAACCCCCUCACAGGCUCCACACUCUGCCUGUGUCAGCCUGGCUAUUCGGGGCCCACCUGCCACCAGGACCUGGACGAGUGUCUGAUGGCCCAGCAAGGCCCAAGUCCCUGUGAACAUGGCGGUUCCUGCCUCAACACUCCUGGCUCCUUCAACUGCCUCUGUCCACCUGGCUACACAGGCUCCCGUUGUGAGGCUGAUCACAAUGAGUGCCUCUCCCAGCCCUGCCACCCAGGAAGCACCUGUCUGGACCUACUUGCCACCUUCCACUGCCUCUGCCCGCCAGCAUGGAGGCCCACCCAGGGAGAACAAGAAGCGGGACUCAUU